rnacentral:tRNA from 1 species
CGCGGGGUGGAGCAGCUGGGUAGCUCGUCGGGCUCAUAACCCGAAGGGCGUCGGUUCAAAUCCGGCCCCCGCAACCA